rnacentral:rRNA from 1 species
CCUACAGGAGGCAGCAGUGGGGAAUAUUGGACAAUGGGGGCAACCCUGAUCCAGCCAUGCCGCGUGUGUGAAGAAGGCCCUCGGGUUGUAAAGCACUUUCAGUGAGGAAGAACGCCUGGUGGUUAAUACCCAUCAGGAAAGACAUCACUCACAGAAGAAGCACCGGCUAACUCCGUGCCAGCAGCCGCGGUAAUACGGAGGGUGCGAGCGUUAAUCGGAAUUACUGGGCGUAAAGCGCGCGUAGGUGGCUUGAUAAGCCGGUUGUGAAAGCCCCGGGCUCAACCUGGGAACGGCAUCCGGAACUGUCAAGCUAGAGUGCAGGAGAGGAAGGUAGAAUUCCCGGUGUAGCGGUGAAAUGCGUAGAGAUCGGGAGGAAUACCAGUGGCGAAGGCGGCCUUCUGGACUGACACUGACACUGAGGUGCGAAAGCGUGGGUAGCAAACAGGAUUAGAUACCCGGGUAGUC